rnacentral:lncRNA from 1 species
GCCGCCGGCUACUGAAAAAAAUAAGCGGGAAAAAGUAUCCAGCGGCCAAGCCGCCAGCUAUUUUUCUCCCGACCGUUGAGGGUUUUAGUAUGCCGGCGGCCAGGCCGCCGGAUCACUUCUUCCCGACCGUUGGGGAAAUUGAAGCUGGCGGCCAGGCCGCCGGAUCACAUCUUCCCGACCGUUGGUGAAAUUGAAGCUGGCGGCCAGGCCGCUGGCAUUUUUUACAAAAAAAUAUUUCGUCGGCCUGGCCGCCAGAAAAUUUCUCUCAUUUACGAGGGAAAAUUAUGCAGGCGGACAAGUGUAACCUUCCGUCGACCUGGC